CCUACGGGGGGCAGCAGUGGGGAAUCUUGCACAAUGGGGGAAACCCUGAUGCAGCGACGCCGCGUGAGUGAAGCAGUCUUUCGGUAUGUAAAGCUCUAUCAGCAGGGAAGAAAAUGACGGUACCUUCUUAAGAAGCCCCGGCUAACUCCGUGCCAGCAGCCGCGGUAAUACGUAGGGGGCAAGCGUUAUCCGGAUUUACUGGGGGUAAAGGGAGCGUAGACGGCAGCGCAAGUCUGAAGUGAAAUGCCGGGGCUUAACCCCGGAAUUGCUUUGGAAACUGUGGAGCUAGAGUGCAGGAGAGGUAAGUGGAAUUCCUAGUGUAGCGGUGAAAUGCGUAGAUAUUAGGAGGAACAGCAGUGGCGAAGGCGGCUUACUGGACUGUAACUGACGUUGAGGCUCGAAAGCGUGGGGAGCAAAUAGGAUUAGAUACCCUUGUAGUC
rnacentral:rRNA from 1 species